GGCGGCCCGAGUGGUGGCCGCUAUUAUUGGGCCUAAAGCGUCCGUAGCCGGGCCCGUAAGUCCCUGGCGAAAUCCCACGGCUCAACCGUGGGGCUUGCUGGGGAUACUGCGGGCCUUGGGACCGGGAGAGGCGGGGGGUACCCCUGGGGUAGGGGUGAAAUCCUAUAAUCCCAGGGGGACCGCCAGUGGCGAAGGCGCCCCGCUGGAACGGGUCCGACGGUGAGGGACGAAGGCCAGGGGAGCAAACCGGAUUAGAUACCCGGGUAGUCCUGGCUGUAAAGGAUGCGGGCUAGGUGUCGGGUGAGCUUCGGGCUCGCCCGGUGCCGUAGGGAAGCCGUUAAGCCCGCCGCCUGGGGAGUACGGCCGCAAGGCUGAAACUUAAAGGAAUUGGCGGGGGAGCACUACAAGGGGUGGAGCGUGCGGUUUAAUUGGAUUCAACGCCGGGAACCUCACCGGGGGCGACGGCAGGAUGAAGGCCAGGCUGAAGGUCUUGCCGGACACGCCGAGAGGAGGUGCAUGGCCGCCGUCAGCUCGUACCGUGAGGCGUCCACUUAAGUGUGGUAACGAGCGAGACCCGCGCCCCCAGUUGCCAGCCCUUCCCGCUGGGAAGGGGGCACUCUGGGGGGACUGCCGGCGAUAAGCCGGAGGAAGGAGCGGGCGACGGUAGGUCAGUAUGCCCCGAAACCCCCGGGCUACACGCGCGCUACAAUGGGCGGGACAAUGGGAUCCGACCCCGAAAGGGGAAGGGAAUCCCCUAAACCCGCCCCCAGUUCGGAUCGCGGGCUGCAACUCGCCCGCGUGAAGCUGGAAUCCCUAGUACCCGCGUGUCAUCAUCGCGCGGCGAAUACGUCCCUGCU
rnacentral:rRNA from 1 species